rnacentral:rRNA from 1 species
UACGGAGGAUGCAAGCGUUAUCCGGAAUUAUUGGGCGUAAAGCGUCCGCAGGUGGUUUAUCACGUCUGCUGUCAAAGCGCGAGGCUUAACUUCGUAAAGGCAGUGGAAACUGAUAGACUGGAGUGCGGUAGGGGCAGAGGGAAUUCCCAGUGUAGCGGUGAAAUGCGUAGAGAUCAUGAGGAAGACCAGUGGCGAAGGCGGGUCUCUGGACAGUUCCUGACACUGAGACACGAAGGCCAGGGGAGCAAACGGG